CGUACAGGUGGUUAUGUAAGUCAGAUGUGAAAUUCCUGGGCUUAACCUAGGACCUGCAUUUGAAACUGCAUAGCUUGAGUUCAGGAGAGGAAAGUGGAAUAUGUAGUGUAGCGGUGAAAUGCGUAGAUAUUACAUAGAACACCGGUGGCGAAGGCGGCUUUCUGGCCUGAUACUGACACUGACGCGCGAAAGUUAGGGUAGCGAACG
rnacentral:rRNA from 1 species